CAUCAUAUAGAGGAUUGGUUAGAAAUGCGAGGACAUAUGAACAUGGCUAAGGCUAUGGAUGAGCUGCUAAAGUACAAGACGCAGUCUGACUAGGCCCAUGAGAAAGUUUGAGAUAGCAGGGCCGUGAGAAAGCAGCAUCGUCCUUGGGUAUUCUAAAUUGAGCUCAAAAACAGGAGCUAGGCAUUUGCAAAACAAAGACACUUAACGAGCCACCUGUGUAAACAAUAGAAGGCAGUUGAGAUGAUAUCACCACCUAACUGGGCACCAAUAAUGAGCCUAAUUUCUGUAAUAUUCAUGAACCUAUUAUAGAGUGUAUAUUAAGCUGUUGUCAAUCUACAAUAAACGAAGUUCCUGGAUUCUCACAUUGAGGUGUCUAGAGCUUUCCGUCGUGACAUAUUUUGGCGCCCAUGUGCAGGGACUAGAGGGGGUCCCUAGGAGGUCAAGUCGGAUCUUCUGGGUCGGAGUCAAGUCGGACUCCUGAGAGCCAAGUCGGGUUCUCGAGCCGCGGUCGGACGUAGGAGUUUCGGUCGGUCUUGCCGUGCAGCACAAGAAGGCGAAAGGGUCGAGCGAAAAAGAGCUCAACUUGCCGCCGCCGGACGCCUCCCUUCCGGGGAUUUCGGACGGCGAAAGAGUUAUGUUCCGCGCUCCUAGCAACGAAAUAGUUGGACCCAGCGCCCGGGACGACUCCUGAAGAAGGGGGCCCGCCGACAAAGCCGCAAAGUCUCGUGGAAAGGGCUGCACAAAGCGUAGUACCCUGUGGGUUCCCAGUCGUUGGGUCAAACCAGCGAUUGAGAGCCCUGGAGAACGAGGAGGAGAGACACCUGCGGUGCCUGCAGCCUCACCUGACCUUACACCACCACUUCCAGCCUCUUCAACACCUGAUUCCCCUGCACCUGCUGAAGAGGGAGACACUGGAACAGCAUCUGAAUUAACUGAGUAACUGUACACAAAGGAACUGCAAGACUUACGUGCCCGAACUUGAUUUACUGUUUUUGUGCAUUAGUAUAGCAAAGAUGUUAGGAUUUCUGUCUAUUUCAUUGUACGGCUAUGUAAAAGGUUUUCUUCUUUUCACGGGUAUGAUUGCCAAUGUUGAGGCUCUUCACACCAUUGACCCUCGGAAAAAUAUAUGGGUCACCUGGGCAAAUCAAACAGGACAAUCAUCCUUUUGCUUGUCCUUGGCAUCUGCCUCAGAUCCUUUUCGUACUUGCUUAUUUGGUAUGCCUUUUAACUCGGUAUAUAAGUUAAACUCACUAUUUGCUGGUUGGGUUUCAUCAUCGUGUGGGAAUGAAAUAAUUAUCUCUAAUACAUCUGCGUGCCUUAUAAAAGCUCUCAAUACCUCUUUACCCCAGAGUCCCCAAGAGUUAGACUUAAUGGGAUCAUUGUCUGUACGUAAUACAAGUGAUAAUGGGACUCAAACUUGCUUUAUGCUGGGAACAUUUCAUUCUGGGUUAAGUGCACAUCAAAGCCAUGAUUUGUCUAGAUGGACUAAUGUCACUUCACGUACCCCAGGGUUUAAUUAUAAAAAUGUAGGAGACUAUUGUGGCACUAACAAUACUAACAACCAGGGCCUUGGGGCAUAUGGAGCUGAAGUCAAACCUUCCUCACCAGGUAUUUGGGUUAACAACACUGCACGUGCCUUACCACUAGGUGUAUUUCUUAUUUGUGGUGACAGAGCUUGGCCUGGCAUUCCUGUACGUGCCUUCGGAGGGCCCUGCUAUAUAGGGUCACUUACGCUGUUAUCCCCAUCCUUUUUACAGCUUUUUAAUCUAACUUCAUCACGCAGACAAAAGAGGAGCCUAAACCAACUUUCCUCAGAUUGUGAUGACAAAGUAGAGCUAUGGGGUAAAACAGCUACUGUCUUUGGAUCUAUUGUCCCAGGUGUAGGCACGGCACAGGCAUUAACAUCCAUUCGCAAACUUGCAUGCUGGGCUGUAAAACAAUCAAAUGUCACCACCCGAGUAAUAGCAGAACUUGCACAAGACAUUGGUAGUUUACGUCAUGCCGUCCUACAAAAUCGAGCUGCUAUUGAUUUUCUGUUGUUAGCACAAGGCCAUGGUUGUAAGGACUUUGAUGGUAUGUGCUGUUUUAAUCUUUCAGAUCACAGUAACUCCAUACAUAAACAACUACAAUGGUUAACAGAUCAUACAAAGAAAGUGACAGUAGCAACUAGUCCUAUAGACUCAUGGCUUCAAUCUAUCUUUGGUUCUAUAUCUGAAUGGGCUCUAAGUUAUAUUAAAGAAGGCCUACGGUGGAUAUUGACAGUUAUUGUAAUCGUAGUAGUAGCUCGUGUUGCCUUUUCUUGUAUUACUAGACAUGUAAAUACUACGACAAAGAAAGCAUUCUUGGCCCAAAAUAAAAACGGGGGAAUUAUAGAGGAUUGGUUAGAAAUGCGAGGACAUAUGAACAUGGCUAAGGCUAUGGAUGAGCUGCUAAAGUACAAGACGCAGUCUGACUAGGCCCAUGAGAAAGUUUGAGAUAGCAGGGCCGUGAGAAAGCAGCAUCGUCCUUGGGUAUUCUAAAUUGAGCUCAAAAACAGGAGCUAGGCAUUUGCAAAACAAAGACACUUAACGAGCCACCUGUGUAAACAAUAGAAGGCAGCUGAGAUGAUAUCACCACCUAACUGGGCACCAAUAAUGAGCCUAAUUUCUGUAAUAUUCAUGAACCUAUUAUAGAGUGUAUAUUAAGCUGUUGUCAAUCUACAAUAAACGAAGUUCCUGGAUUCUCA